GGCCUAUUAGCUCAGUUGGUUAGAGCGUCGUGCUAAUAACGCGAAGGUUGCAGGUGAACCUGCAUAGGCCA
rnacentral:tRNA from 2 species